rnacentral:lncRNA from 1 species
AUGUUACUAAUAUACAUUACAAAGAUUCUUCUUUUUUUUUUUUUCUCCUCACAUUCGUUCGGAGUACUCUUCAUGAGGAUGGACAGGAGAAGAUCCUGCCUGUGGAUACGGAGGGAAACACUGGAGGGAGAAGUCUAUGCAGUGGAGCUGAGGAAGAUCAGUCACCCACUUCUUGGCAUCCCUUCAGCAUCUAUUCAGGCAGCUCCAUUACCUUCCAUGGAUAGUCUCUUUUUUGGCCCUGGAAAAAGCAGGAAAAAAAAUGGUAUGUCUCCCGCGAUCGUCCCUUCCGCCAGGGCAACCGGAUCAAUAACGCCGGCGCCCGCUCUCCGUCGAUGCCACCUGCGGCCGCGGAGCCGGCCCUGUCACAGCAUCCCUGUGGCAGAGGAAGACCACAGCUGCAUCCCCAGAGGGCUGCGAAAGCCAUCGCCUAAGAACUCUCUGUUGUCUCCCUUGCGUCCUGCAGGCGGUUCCGUAAGUGGUGGCAAGCCAGUGGCGGGGCUGCCUCCCUAAAUCUCACCUGCCUGACCUCAGCUUGACAACGUCUUAACAGGCGCAGAGAACCAUCAAGGCUCCGUGCGGAGCCGGGCGCUCCAUCAGCCUCUCGGCAGAUGUCGGGGCCCGGGGCUGGAUGCGGAGUGGGGAGCGGGAGACAGGUUUGCGCGCACAUCAAGGCCCCGCGCGGUGGAGUCAGCCUGUCUCGUGCUCACAGGCAGAACUCUUCCUCCUCGGUCGCAUGUCACACUGUCAUGCUGCCUCUUCCCUGUGUGUAAAGUGGUAAGGUGUGAGUUUAAUUAGCAUAGAACAAAAUUUCUUAGUCUCUAAUAAUAACACCUUGAAUUUUUAUGUUACCUGCUCUCCAAGGAGCUCAGAGCAUUACACACACACACACACACACACACACACACACACACACACUCUCACACUUCUUCAUUUUUGUCUCAUUGGACUCCAAAGGCAGAGGUCAUUGGCCCAUUCUGCAGACAGGGAAACCGAGGCGGAGGGUGCUUUGUGGCUCACUAAAGUACAGAGGGAGCUCCGCUGUGGCCUUCUGGCUUCAUGGGUAGCCUUCAGUUCUGUGCAGAAUGUGUGAGUUUAAAUUCCUGGAAAGAAGGGUGAUGGGAUUGGUGCAGGGGCUUCAACAGGAGCGCCUUCAGACAAAUGGUAGGGGACAUGCAUGAAUGGGUGUACACAGCAGGGAGUGACAGGGCCUGGGUGAACCCGAGUGGGCCCCCGCUGGAAGGAGAUGCCUUCUCUGGCUCUUGAGAUGUGUUAGCAUGCAAGACAGCAAGCCCAGCGUUGUCAGGUCUUCCAAUGUAUACAUAUGCAAAUGUUGACCUGGAAAAAAAAAAAGGAAAGAAAAAACCCAUUCUUCGAUACCUAAUAUGUAUCUCGUGGGGCACAACCCCAUAGGCUCCCCUCGGUGACAUUUCGGCUAAGGCAGUGUUUGCGUGAGACCGGGGUGCUGGCUUGCACUGGGUGCAUUAGGUUUGGUCAAGAAAAGCACUGGCCUAGGGCAACCGCUGGAGGCUUUCCUGAAUCUUGAUCCCUGAAUCAUGGGCACCGCAGUGCCUUGGAGAGAAAGAGAUGAAACCCAAAGAGGCAGAGGAAAAAGAAUGUGGUCCCUUGGCUGACAGGAGAACCCCAGAACAUUCUAGCUGGAGAUUCCAGGGUCAGGAGGGUCGUGGUGCCUUUGCCAAGGACAGAAUUGCUGAGAGAACCCCUCAUGGGACAUUCCACCUGGGAGAGGGGACAGUGAAUGUUUCCACAGCAGGUGCUCCAGGUGGAAGGAGGACAGGCAGGGAGGGACGCCCUGUGGCUGUGUGUUUGGGGGCUUCUGUGCUUCCCGGGAGAGUAGAAAUUGUGACACUAAUUUCGUUUCCACUUUGAGGUCAUCCACUUUUUUUAAAUUUUUUUUUUGGGGGGUCUUUUUAGGGCCGUAUCCGAGGCAUAUGGAGGUUCCCUGGCUAGGGGUCACAUCAGAGCUGUAGCCACCAGCCUACACCUCCGUCACAGCAAUGCCAGAUCCGAGCCAUGUCUGUGACCUACACCACAGCUCACGGCAACGCCGGAUCCUUAACCCACUGAACGAGGCCAGGGAUCCAACCUAGUCAGACUCGUGUCCACUGAGCCACAGCAGGAACUCCAGAGGUCAUCCACUUUUUAUUUGGCCAAGUGAGAACAAGAAAGGAAAUAAAUAGCAACCAUCUCUGUUCUGUUGAAGAAAG